UACGGAGGGGGCGAGCGUUAUUCGGAAUUAUUGGGCGUAAAGGGCGCGUAGGCGGCUCGGCACGUCCGUUGUGAAAUCGCCCGGCUCAACUGGGCGGGGUCGGCGGAUACGGCCGAGCUGGAGCAAGCUAGGGGGUAAUGGAAUUCCCGGUGUAGUGGUGGAAUGCGUAGAUAUCGGGAGGAACACCAGUGGCGAAGGCGGUUACCUGGAGCUUUGCUGACGCUGAUGCGCGAAAGCGUGGGGAGCGAUCCGG
rnacentral:rRNA from 1 species